rnacentral:rRNA from 1 species
AUUGAACGCUGGCGGCAGGCCUAACACAUGCAAGUCGAACGAGUGGCGGACGGGUGAGUAAUGUCUGGGAAACUGCCUGAUGGAGGGGGAUAACUACUGGAAACGGUAGCUAAUACCGCAUACCAUCGGAUGUGCCCAGAUGGGAUUAGCUAGUAGGUGGGGUAACGGCUCACCUAGGCGACGAUCCAGAGCGGGUCUGAGAGGAUGACCAGCCACACUGGAACUGAGCCACGGUCACGACUCCGACGGUAGGCAGCAGUGGGGAAUUUGGCACAAUGGGCGCAAGCCUGAUGCAGCCAGGCCGCGUGUAUGAAGAAGGCCUUCGGGUUGUAAAGUACUUUCAGCGGGGAGGCGUUACCCGCAGAAGAAGCACCGGCUAACUCCGUGCCAGCAGCCGCGGUAAUAC